CAAAAAAACAACAUUUUGUAAUAUUAUAACUACAAAAUUUUUCUUUGAUAUCUUCAUUUUAAAAAAUUGAUUUAAAAUUACUUACAAUGAAUGAAUGAAUGAACAAACAUGGAAACAUCAGUCUCAUGGUGAUAGGUAGAUUUUAUUUAUUAUUUUAUGAUUUUUUUGAAUUAUCAAAAUAUCAGAAUAUCAUAUUUUAUUCUAGGAAAAAACGUGGGAAUUAUGCAGGAAUUUUUUAAUUGGUUGCUACCUCUCCUGAACAAAAUUACCUGCUUAUCUUAUAAUAAAUAUCGGACGUUACCGGAGGUGAAAUACACUUCAAUUCAAAAUUAUAAUAAUGACAUAGGAAACAAUUUGAUAUUGUUUAUAGAACAAUUUAUAGUUAAUUCUAUAUAUAAAGCCAAUA
rnacentral:lncRNA from 1 species